rnacentral:lncRNA from 1 species
UUCUUUAGCUAUUCUUUGUUCUUAACAUUCUUGAACCAUGCUAUAUCUUAGCCUUUGGCAUUCUACUCUAAGGUCACUUUACCUUGGUCAACAAAGCCACCCGACUCGGUCUUGAGUCAAUCAAUCGCGGGUAGUCCGCGCACUGUCUAGCUCGAGGUGAAGGAACUCUCACAUGCACCUCAGCUGGCAACAGCUCACCGUACUCCUGUCCUAGCCGUCUGGCAGCUAACGAAUCGCACCUCACCCAACAACGGCCUAGGUUCAAUGACUUAGCCACCCGGCGGCGAAAUCGUCGCACACACGCCACGACAGUAGUUCAGUCAACAGGCGGUAGGAUCCACAAACUGGCUAACCAUCCGGCGGCGAAAUCGUCGCACACACGCCACGACAAUGGUUCUCUAGCCCCUGGGCGGCGAAAUCGUCGCACACACCCGACACCACUUUGGGUGUAGCAGCAAGCAGCGGGAUUCCGGAAUCCAUAUCACAUCAACCAAGGGUUGGUCUUAACCCUAUGGAACUGACCUCUCUAGGUCUAAGCAUUUAUCUCCUAGGUCCAAUCGACUCUAGGUUCAUUGUCCUUUACACAACCUAAGUUAUUACUUUAGGUUUAUUGCUUUCACAUUCUUAACCUAGGUUUAUUACACUAGGAUCAUCAUUCUUUUCCAACCUAGGUUUACUUGACUCUAGGUUAAGCAGCUUUCAUUUCACAACCUAUGUCCUUUACAUUAGGUUCAACAUCCCUCUUAUUUAACCUAUGUUCUUUACAUUAGGUUCAACAUCUCAUUUAUUUAACCUAUGUCCUCGACACUAGGUUUAAUGCCACUCGAUCUAUAGGUUUAUUCAUGUCCACCUAUAUAUGUUCCUUACUUAGCAUUCUUAACAUGCACUUGCAUUUACUAUUCUUAUAUCAUGCUUAUCACUUAUACUUUAGCAUAGCAUCAUUCACUUUAAUCAUUCUAGGGUUAUCAACCUAGUUUCAUGCACAUUUAUCUCACAAUGUCAACAUGCAUUCUAUAUCUCAUUUUAACUUAUAUCAUCAAUAUGCAUUUCAUUCUAUGCAUUAUGCUUACAUGCAUUCACAUAAUUAUCUAGCUUUAUUCAACAUGCUCAUAAUGCAUUCUAUUUAGCAAUUACAUCACACUAUCAUCAUGCAUUAUUUAGCUACAUGCAUCAUUUACAUUUAUAUGCAUCAACUUUAGCAUCUACAUCAUAUUAUGCAUUUCUACUUAGCAUCAACUAUGCCGAUCAUCAACAUGCAUCAACAUGAAAGUCUAAUAAUUAGACAUAAAGGCGACCUAGUCGCUUCGGUAAACCAACCCACCUUAACACGCGCUCCGAUUGCUUGUAGUCACUUGCAAUCGGCCUCCCGCGGCAACCGUUGCCCGGUUUGGCCCGAACUCUUGAGCGACUUAGCAAACGACCUCCGAACCGCGAUCCGUCUUUUCCGGAGUUUAUUCCUUGACUCCAAGGUGCUCCAGUUCCGAUCUCAUGAUUUUUAGACCUUUAUUCCGCGUGCUGCGGCUAUCUGUACCAAAACCGACCGUUUCGUCAAUAACUUCGCGUACGCUCGUCGGAUUGCCGAACCGAGCGCACCAACGCGUUCGUUAGGUCCCCAAUUAGGUUUCUACAAGGCCAAUUUGCCUUAGAAACACCCGGAGGCAAAAGCCCCAAUUUCGGUGCCCUAACAAUGCCAUAAUCAAAUUUCUUGGGAUUGAUCUCAUAGCUAAGCAUAAUUAAGCUUAGAACCACCCAAGAAGCUCUCUAAACUUGUUUCCAUCUCAUUAGAAUCAUCCUUAGGGCAUUUAGAACAAACCCUAGGAUUCCACCAUUAGAGCCUCAUGAAGAACAACAUGGAUUUCAUGUGUUCUUGGUUUCUACAAGGUUCUAAAACUUGUAGGGAGAUCAAAAUCAAAGAUCUAGGGUUCAAAACCCAAACUCUAACCCUAGGUUUGCAUCAAUGGUGCAAUCCAUGGUUCAAAGCUUCAAUAUGAGCUAGAACCAUCUUCUCCAACUCAAAUGGGUUCCAUUUGAACCACUCAAAAGCAACCAAAAACUCUAAACCCUAGAAAUGCCAUUUUAGGAUUAGAGCUUACCUCCAAAAGAGCUCCAAUGGCUCAAGGAAGAUGAAGGAGAGGAUGAAGAUCUCCUUCUAGAUCUUCUUCUCCAUCUUCUCCAACUUCUUCUUCUCUUUUUCUUCUUCUCUUUCUCUUUUCUCUCUUUUCUUUCUUUCUUUCUUCUCCCUUCGGUUGGGCACGAACAGAGAGAGAGAGGGGGGCUAUGGGAGUGGGAGAGAGAGUGAAAAAGCCCUCUCUAAUACCCUCUCACAUGUAUUGUAACAAUAUCCCAAAAGGCCCCUCAGUUUUUCCAAAAUCUGCAACUCAACCUGCAGUUUCGGGCUCCUUGUACCGGUACAG